rnacentral:tRNA from 1 species
GUAAGUAUAGUUUAAAUAAAAUAUUAGAUUGUGAUUCUAAAGACAGGGGUUAAAAUCCCCUUAUUCACC